UCCCCCGCGGCACCUCCCUGACGCGGGUACCCAUCGACGACCGUUCGAUGGGACGUUAUCCCCGUUGCGCGUCUGGCGACGGGGUUUUUUUU
rnacentral:ncRNA from 1 species